CUGGUCUUAUCUUUAUUUCAUAGCUGUGUUGUCCCUGAGAGUAUUUAAAAUAAUAAUCUUCGCAAUCACAUUUUGGUGGAGCUCUGAAAGCAGUAAAGAACUACUUACUCUGCACCAGAACUGGCACAGGAGGAGAUGGCAUCAGGAUGUGGAUGGUUGACAUAGAGAGUCUCAUCUGCUUGGACCAGGUGCUUGACAGUGACUCUGCAGACCAUGAUGGCGCCCGUGAGCCUAUAGAUGCCAGCCUUGAAGUGAACAAAACACCACUACAAAGUGCCAAACUGACAGCAGUGGAAUUAAUUCUGUCUGCCUGGUAGACAAAGCAUAGCAACCAAGCUGGAUUACUUUAAAUUUUGAGAGGGAAACUGAACAGAAUACAGAAGAUGGAUAUCAACUGGUAUUUCUUUUUUAAAUGCAUCGCUGAGCAAUGGCUUGAAAAAUGAGGCAAUUAAGGUUUGCUUAUGAACAAUUAGCUUGAGAUCAUGAACUGCUCAGAUGAGCAAAAAAAGUAAAUUAAAUAAAUGUGUAUAGAGGAUAUAAGAAAAAUGUUUGAUUUUUGUACCAAGGAAGGAUAAUUAUAUAGGAAAUUAUCCUGAAAAAUCAGCAUAUGUUAAUACUCCUAUAUGAUUAAACCAACAUGCAAAAUAGCUGAAAUCUACCAACAGUUUGUAGAGGGACACAUGAAACGUGGGAUGGUUUUAAGGACUUUCUUUCAGGGAAGUUCUUGGUUCCUCCAGGCUGCUGAGACAUCAUCAGCUGUUGCUCAUGCUGCUCUGUGAAGGCACGUGGCUGUACCAAACACAAAUUUCAUUUGAAUGUACUUGCUACUGUAAUAAUACAUUACUCCUUGAGUUCUUCUUACAGCACUGGUUCUCUUGGGCCCUCAAAUUGUGGCAUCUUUGUGAUCUGAGUUUGUUCAGAGAAUUCCAUACAGUCUCUGCUCUUCCCAUAUAAUCUAUUGUGAUCAUUGCACAUACAAAUUAAAACAGCUGUAAGAAUGAACAUAAUGACCUGUAGUAUUUGAGUUGCAGCCUCAUAUAACAUUAAGAAUUAUCGCUCAUCUACUGAGAAAAAAUUAUAUAAAAUUAUACAGACUCUUUUUAAAACAAAAAUAUACAUUCAAAAAUAAUAGAAGUAAACUGGAAAAUAAUUGACUUCUACUUAAAUUCUAUUAGUUCUGCAUAACAUAGGAAAAAUAAUGUGGAAAAUGUAGCAAAAUAUCAUUUCUCAUCAGCAGAAUUCAAAGAUUGGUUUUCUUAUUCAAUAACAAUAUCAUUACAAGUCAAACUGACUUAUGCAGCGAAAAAUUAGCUAAAUGAAGGACUCUUUCUCUUCCUCCUUGUGUUACAAAAGCACAGAUAAUCUUUAGGGUGGGCUUAAAAGGAACAGAUGAAAAGUUUUUGUUGGGUGCCAAGUAAUACUUUGUUCCAAAAUUUAUUGGUCUGAAAAAAUAAGAAACAAAAUAAAUUUUAACAACUCUCUUAAUGCAGAUCCAGAGUUGAGCUCUAUUUGUUUUGUUACUUACUUUCUUUGCUUUAGGGA